CAGGGAGACAAUCACUGAUCAUGAUGUCUGAGCGCUGAGAACGAGUGAGUCCUUGUGGCUGCUGGUAGGAAGCACAAAUUGUCUCAGGCCAUGGUCCUGUCAUCUCGAAGGUCGAUCGGUACCUCAAGGAACCAAGCAGAGAGCUGAGGAGAGUCUGAGCAGUUCAAUCCGCAAGGGUUGGGAUGUGAGGGCAGGAGUCGGUGAGACUGGGAGGUUUUUUCAGUUCCUAAACGUUGUCUAGGUCACCCCCCAAAGGGUAAGCCUAAGCCCAGAAAGGGUUUAGAAAUCUCCUGGGCCAUUAGCUCAGGUGGUUAGAGCGCACCCCUGAUAAGGGUGAGGUCCCUGGUUCAAGUCCAGGAUGGCCCAUUCAUGUCUGGGGGUUUAGCUCAGUUGGUAGAGCGCCUGCUUUGCAAGCAGGAUGUCAGCGGUUCGAGUCCGCUAACCUCCAUUCAACUGUAGGUCCCCAGCGUAGGAGAAGGAUCCUGAGGGAGACGUGACCAAGACGGAACCGGUGUCGCAAGCCAAGACACGACUCCAGCCUCAUGCCCGCAGUGAUGCAGGCAUGAAGCUGGACUCACGGUGAAUCGAAGGAUUCACGGAGGGUUUGGCGAAGAACCUUGACAACUGCAUAGGUGAAUCUGGAAAUAAAGCAUCUCAUGGAUGUUUGAUUUCAGUUGGGCUGAGAAGUCCAGAUGGGAUCAAAGCAAUUCUAUGAAGUCAAGAGCCGAGAACUUCCAGUGUUCUUCCUGCUCCGCCGAGGAGUGGGGAGUUUGAUCCUUGAUUCCAACCGCAACCGCAAGGGAGCAGGUGAAUCAUGAGAGAAUAGGCCUCAACAGCCUGAAGCACUGGGAGAUGUAAU
rnacentral:tRNA from 1 species